GGGUCCGGUGGGCCGCUGACCUCCUAAAAGAACCGGGGGAAAGAACUACCCGCCCACCCACCCUCCCCGCCGGAGAGGCCGCGUCACUCGUGCGGGUGACCGGCUUGCAGGUGCGGGAUUCGGGCGGUUACGUUCACCGCGACAAGCUCGACAACCGCAAACAGAUACGGCCCCCGGCCGGGAGUGGCUUCCCGAACGAGGGCCUCACCGAUCAGGAAGCUAGACCUUCCCA
rnacentral:ncRNA from 1 species